UACGGAGGAUGCGAGCGUUAUCCGGAUUUAUUGGGUUUAAAGGGUGCGUAGGCGGUUUUAUAAGUUAGAGGUGAAAUCUCGGGGCUCAACUCCGAAAUUGCCUCUAAUACUGUAGGACUAGAGAGUAGUUGCGGUAGGCGGAAUGCGUGGUGUAGCGGUGAAAUGCAUAGAUAUCACGCAGAACGCCGAUUGCGAAGGCAGCUUACCGGCGCUCAACUGACGCUGAGGCACGAAAGUGCGGGUAUCGAACAGG
rnacentral:rRNA from 1 species